CUGAGGAGUCCCACAAUAGGACGAAACGGCCGUC
rfam:Schistosoma rodhaini strain Burundi genome assembly, scaffold: SROB_scaffold0004879